GCUCUCUUGGCUUAGUGGUUAGAGCGCGUGGGUUAUAGCAGUUUCAUCUACUUACACGACUCGUCUCGGCUUCGGCUGGGCGGGGCGUGGUAGCUUGGGCUGACAAUUUCACACGAGGUCCUCGGUUCGAUCCCGAGAAGGGGCA